UACCAGCAUCCCGAGUGGUCGGGACGAUUAUUGGGCCUAAAGCAUCCGUAGCCGGUUCUACAAGUCUUCCGUUAAAUCCACCUGCUCAACAGUUGGGCUGCAGAGGAUACUAUAGAGCUAGGAGGCGGGAGAGGCAAGCGGUACUCGAUGGGUAGGGGUAAAAUCCGUUGAUCCAUUGAAGACCACCAGUGGCGAAGGCGGCUUGCCAGAACGCGCUCGACGGUGAGGGAUGAAAGCUGGGGGAGCAAACCGG
rnacentral:rRNA from 1 species